rnacentral:rRNA from 1 species
CGAGUCUUAAUUGGGCGUUAAGUUGCAGGGUAUAGACCCGAAACCCGGUGAUCUAGCCAUGGGCAGGUUGAAGGUUGGGUAACACUAACUGGAGGACCGAACCGACUAAUGUUGAAAAAUUAGCGGAUGACCUGUGGCUGGGGGUGAAAGGCCAAUCAAACCGGGAGAUAGCUGGUUCUCCCCGAAAGCUAUUUAGGUAGCGCCUCGUGAAUUCAUCUCCGGGGGUAGAGCACUGUUUCGGCUAGGGGGCCAUCCCGGCUUACCAACCCGAUGCAAACUGCGAAUACCGGAGAAUGUUAUCACGGGAGACACACGGCGGGUGCUAACGUCCGUCGUGAAGAGGGAAACAACCCAGACCGCCAGCUAAGGUCCCAAAGUCAUGGUUAAGUGGGAAACGAUGUGGGAAGGCCCAGACAGCCAGGAUGUUGGCUUAGAAGCAGCCAUCAUUUAAAGAAAGCGUAAUAGCUCACUGGUCGAGUCGGCCUGCGCGGAAGAUGUAACGGGGCUAAACCAUGCACCGAAGCUGCGGCAGCGACACUAUGUGUUGUUGGGUAGGGGAGCGUUCUGUAAGCCUGCGAAGGUGGCCUGUGAGGGUUGCUGGAGGUAUCAGAAGUGCGAAUGCUGACAUAAGUAACGAUAAAGCGGGUGAAAAGCCCGCUCGCCGGAAGACCAAGGGUUCCUGUCCAACGUUAAUCGGGGCAGGGUGAGUCGACCCCUAAGGCGAGGCCGAAAGGCGUAGUCGAUGGGAAACGGGUUAAUAUUCCCGUACUUGGUGUUACUGCGAAGGGGGGACGGAGAAGGCUAUGUUGGCCGGGCGACGGUUGUCCCGGUUUAAGCGUGUAGGUGUGUGUUCCAGGUAAAUCCGGUU